CUCGCCUGCCUUCUCGCGCUGUUUCUAGCUCUCGCCAUCCCUCGGCGUACUCUUCCUCUCCUCCGAGUCAGAGUACCCUGGAGGGAUAAUGCUCUGCAGCACUGGCUAGAACUUCCAUCCCUGUGGUGAAUAAGAGUGAUGAAAGUGGACACCAUCGUAUUAUUGAAUUGAAGGGAUGUAGAUGGAUAACAUGACCACAAGAGUUAGGCCCCGAAGCAGAUGAUUGCCUCUGGCACCCGCCGUAUGCAAUUCGAGGUGAAAUUUCCAAGAGCCAAAUGAAAUAAUUGCAACAGG
rnacentral:lncRNA from 1 species